rnacentral:sRNA from 1 species
GAUGCGAGUGUGUAUGUGCGGGCGAGAAGAUGGCGGCGGCGGGGGAAGCAGCGUGAGCAGCCGGAGGAUCGCAGAGUCCCAAUGAAACGGGCAGCCAUGGCCCUCCACAGCCCGCAGCUCCUGGGCCAUGAUCCCAUUUUCAUCAGAUGACUUGAGAACCCAGAAACUCUACCAGCACUGCCAUUCUGUCCCGUCUUGAAACAUCAUGCCCUGGUUGCCCUCUCCUGGAAUAGGGCUGAUAUGCCAGUUCCUCCUGGACUCCUCAGACUGGAAGAUUGUCCUUUCUCCUUGGCAAAUCAUCUGUACUAUCUGAUUGCAUCUUACAGUCUUCUUUAAAUAUUAUUGUUCCUUAACUGUUAAUGUGUCUGUGCCUUGAGGUCAGCCUCAGGUUCCAAUCCUGUUCCAUUUUGUUUGGGGAAUCUCAGGCAAGGUUGGUUUCUCUGAACUUUUAAAGUUUUUUCAUCUUCAUUCAGCAAAUCUUUAUUAGAUUCUCAGUAUUGUGCUUCAGUGGACGAAAUACAGACUGACACAAGGAGAUAACAGUUCAUUCACAGAGACAUAGUAUGUUUGG